AGAGAGAGACAUGCGCGCAUAUCAAUAAGCGGAGGAAAAGAAACUAACAUAGGAUUCCCUCAGUAACGGCGAGUGAAGCGGGAAGAGCUCAAAUUUGAAAUCUUCAAGGUUCUACCUUGACGAAUUAUAGUUUAAAGAAGUGUUUUCUGUUGGAGUUUUGGUAAAAGGUUCUUUGGAAUAGGACAUCAUAGAGGGUGAGAAUCCCGUAUUUGACCAUUAUUUCCAGCUUUGUGAUACACUUUCAAAGAGUCGGAUUGUUUGGGAAUGCAGUCCAAAAUGGGUGGUAAAUUUCAUCUAAAGCUAAAUAUUGGCGAGAGACCGAUAGCGAACAAGUACCGUGAGGGAAAGAUGAAAAGAACUUUGAAAAGAGAGUUAAACAGUACGUGAAAUUGUCAAAAGGGAAGCGUUUGACACCAGUGUUGUUUUCUCGAAAAUCAAUCAAAAAAGGCAGGAUUUUGUGUUGUAUUGACUUUAUCAGCUUUCUGCACUCUUUUCUUGUCUUUUUUAAUGCACUUUUCGUUUAACAAGUCAACAUCAAUUUCUUUUGUUGUAAAAGGGUCAUUGGAAGGUGGCUUUCUUUUCGGAGAAAGUGUUUAUAGCCUUGGCCUCUGCAAUCGGAGAGAUUGAGGUCUGCAGCGUAGAUCCUUCGGGGUUAGAUACAUUUGUGCUAAGUUAUAGCCUUUCAUAGACAACUUGUUGACUAUGAUCAGUCAUGUAGCUUACUCGCUUAUGCUAUUUUACCUACGCUUAGGAUGUUGAUGUGAUACUGCGAGCA
rnacentral:rRNA from 1 species